GAAAAAAGAAGAAGGCAAACACAUAAGAAAUACAACAUUAACUGUCAACUAACUAGCCAAUCUCAAUUGAUGAAUUGAGAAAUUCUUAUUUGGACUAUUUUCCGCACACAAAUAUUAUAGAUACACUCAUGGAAGCCUAUGUGAAUCCCAGUUCUUGUUUCCAAUCCAUUGUCUCCAUUGUCCAUGAUAACAUGCACUAGCUCUGCCAAAUCCCAAAGUAGGCCGUCAUGGUCAUGGAAUAGUGAUCCAUUGACCGAAUAAUCUCGUCUGAGCUCUUAUACUGUAUCGCACUGCAUUAGCUUCAUCAACUUCCUUUGUCAAAAUGAUUCUAUCACCGCUCUUAAGAUGCUUUUCACGUACAAACCGAAGCCAAUCUCGCCCAACAAUUUCAGGUCUUCGGUUACGAUCAUUAACAUUGUUGCGAACGGAGAGUCUUAAGUCAUAACGUUGCUGGAUAUUUUCAGUAUAAGUAGCUUGAAACUGAACAGAAU
rnacentral:misc_RNA from 1 species